rnacentral:rRNA from 1 species
GUCCACGCCGUAAACGAUGAUUACUCGGUGCUAGCGAUAUACGGUUAGUGCCUAAGCGAAAGCGAUAAGUAAUCCACCUGGGGAAUACGGUCGCAAGAUUGAAACUCAAAGGAAUUGACGGGGCCCGCACAAGCGGUGGAGCAUGUGGUUUAAUUCGAUGAUACGCGAGGAACCUUACCAAGGCUUAAAUGUAGUUUGACCGAUUUGGAAACAGAUCUUUCGCAAGACAAAUUACAAGGUGCUGCAUGGUUGUCGU